GUGGGGAAUAUUGGACAAUGGGCGAAAGCCUGAUCCAGCCAUGCCGCGUGUGUGAAGAAGGUCUUCGGAUUGUAAAGCACUUUAAGUUGGGAGGAAGGGCAGUAAGUUAAUACCUUGCUGUUUUGACGUUACCGACAGAAUAAGCACCGGCUAACUACGUGCCAGCAGCCGCGGUAAUACGAAGGGUGCAAGCGUUAAUCGGAAUUACUGGGCGUAAAGCGCGCGUAGGUGGUUUUGUAAGUUGGAGGUGAAAUCCCCGGGCUCAACCUGGGAACUGCCUCCAAAACUGCAUGACUAGAGUUAGGUAGAGGGUAGUGGAAUUUCCUGUGUAGCGGUGAAAUGCGUAGAUAUAGGAAGGAACACCAGUGGCGAAGGCGACUACCUGGACUGAUACUGACACUGAGGUGCGAAAGCGUGGGGAGCAAACAGGAUUAGAAACCCCUGUAGUCC
rnacentral:rRNA from 1 species